AGUGAACGCUGGCGGUAGGCCUAACACAUGCAGGUCGAACGGCAGCACAGUAAGAGCUUGCUCUUACGGGUGGCGAGUGGCGGACGGGUGAGGAAUACAUCGGAAUCUACUUUUUCGUGGGGGAGAACGUAGGGAAACUUACGCUAAUACCGCAUACGACCUACGGGUGAAAGCAGGGGAUCUUCGGACCUUGCGCGAUUGAAUGAGCCGAUGUCGGAUUAGCUAGUUGGCGGGGUAAAGGCCCACCAAGGCGACGAUCCGUAGCUGGUCUGAGAGGAUGAUCAGCCACACUGGAACUGAGACACGGUCCAGACUCCUACGGGAGGCAGCAGUGGGGAAUAUUGGACAAUGGGCGAAAGCCUGAUCCAGCCAUACCGCGUGGGUGAAGAAGGCCUUCGGGUUGUAAAGCCCUUUUGUUGGGAAAGAAGAGCAGCAGGUUAAUACCCCGCUGUUCUGACGGUACCCAAAGAAUAAGCACCGGCUAACUUCGUG
rnacentral:rRNA from 1 species